UACAGAGGGUGCAAACGUUAUUCGGAAUCAUUGGGCGUAAAGGGUGCGUAGACGGCGCUUCAAGUCAAUUAUUAAAUCUUUUGGCCUAACCAAAAGCUUGUGGUUGAGACUGUAGCGCUAGAGGAUGGAAGAGAGAAGUGGAAUUCUCGGAGUAGCGGUAAAAUGCGCAGAUUUCGAGAGGAACACCGAUGGCGAAGGCAGCUUCUUGGUCCAUUUCUGACGUUGAGGCACGAAAGCGUGGGGAGCAAAAGGG
rnacentral:rRNA from 1 species